UGGGGAAUAUUGGGCAAUGGGGGAAACCCUGACCCAGCAACGCCGCGUGAAGGAAGAAGGCCUUCGGGUUGUAACAUUCUUUUAUCCAGGGAGCGAAGGACGUGACGGUACCUGGAGAAAAAGCAACGGCUAACUACGUGCCAGCAGCCGCGGUAAUACGUAGGUUGCGAGCGUUGUCCGGAUUUACUGGGUGUAAAGGGCGUGUAGGCGGAGAAGCAAGUUGGGAGUGAAAUCUAUGGGCUCAACCCAUAAACUGCUCUCAAAACUGUUUCCCUUGAGUAUCGGAGAGGCAAGCGGAAUUCCUAGUGUAGCGGUGAAAUGCGUAGAUAUUAGGAGGAACACCAGUGGCGAAGGCGGCUUGCUGGACGACAACUGACGCUGAGGCGCGAAAGCGUGGGGAGCAAACAGGAUUAGAUACCC
rnacentral:rRNA from 1 species